UUUGUCUUUCUACAAAGAGUUGAUGACAUUAAAUACAGAUGUUUUAACAGUGCUUGAAUGUUUUAUUUUGUUUACUCUAGCCUCCAACUCAAACUUUGGUUGCUCCUAUGCCCACGUCACUUCCUCCACCAAUCAGAAUGAGGGUCCGGGUUCAGGAAGACGUCUUCCUGAUCCCAGUUCCACAAAGUGAGGCCAACUCCUGCUCUGUGUCGUGGCUGUGUGAGCAGGCAGCUCAGCGUUACUACCAGAAAUGUGGCCUCCUGCCUCGUCUCUCUCUGCA